CCCAUUUGAAGUUUGCCAAUGAACAUCUGAAUGAUUCAGAGGAGAACUGGGUGAAAGUGUGGUGGUCAGAUGAGACCAAAAUCGAGCUCUUUGGCAGCAACUCAACUUGCCGUGUUUGGAGGAGGAGGAAUGCUGCCUAUGACUGCAAGAACACCAUACCCACCGUCAAACAUGAAGGUGGAAACAUUAUGCUUUGAGGGUG
rnacentral:lncRNA from 1 species